UAUAACACUCAUUGCUAAUAUAUUAGUUUUUGUUCAGGUUGAAUUUAUCAGGCGGAUGGUUUCACAAUGACAACAUCGUAGUAGUUACCAAUGAAGUCUAUUACUGAAGCAUCAAUUCUGGUGAGAUCUAGCACGUGUGGCAUCAUAUUUUAUCAAGCCAGCAUCCUCAGUUAUGGAUGAAAUUACUUGAUGCACAUUAGUCCAUCCAAUUGAGUCACUUCCACAUGUCCGUGAAUUUAUUUUUAUCAUUACCAUGGACCGUUCCUGUCUAUUUGAUCUUUUGAGUUUGAUUAAGCUGAAGCCCAAAGAACACACCGGUUUGUUGAAAGCUUGUCAUGGAUUUCAAGAAAUGCACCAAUUCCGGCCAGAACUGAUUAUCAAUUAGGUGCUGUUCUCAUCGAAAUUGGUUCAGUUUGUUAUGCGGGCAGUCCACGACAACAUCAUUAGUUACAAAUAACGCUCGUCGGUGAAGAAUCAAUUCUGGAUCUAGGAAAUGCAGCGUUAUAUUUUAUUACAAGGCAUCCGUAACAUCGUCACUUAUGCGUGGAAUUACUUGAUUCGCACGUUUGUCGCCGAUGUAAUUUUGUUGUGGGGUCCAAAAUAAGACUUUAUUAAUACGAACAUUUUCUUAUGAGAUUAAUCCUAUUUCAAUUACCGAUUAUUUGCAACGCAUUUACCAACAUGUGGCAAUUAUACGUUAAUGUAUUUAUUAUCUCCAAGAUGGACAAUCAGCGUAAAUGUGAAAACUUUUUUGUUCCAAUUACCGAUUAUUUGCAACGCAUUUACCAACAUGUGGCAAUUAUACGUUCAUAUAUUUAUUAUCACCAAGAUGGACAAUCGUAAAUUUGAAAACUUUUUUGAUUGUGUGAAGCCGGAAAACUUUCACGUCGAACUUCUGGUUUGGUUAUUGCAGGCAACAUUACAAUAUUAGUCCGGACUUAAAAUAGCGAUUAGACACUUAAUCGAAUUUGGUAGAGUUUCCUGUAAAACGAAUGUUUUAUUUGGAGAACUCGUUAGAAAUGGUUUCCAAGCGCGUCCGCCAAAUGUGCCAAUCCGACGUUCAUGUAUCUAUCAUACGGAUAUACUAGCAUUGCCAAUUUGGAAACUUUGGUUAUCCAGUAACUACUUAUAUUCCCAAAGGAAGCGUUUUCAUUCAGAUUGAGUGAAGCUCGAAAAACAUUCACGUCGCACACCUGGUCGUCUAUUGUAGCCGUCACGCCAAUCUUAGUAUAAGACGCUGUGAUCAUCCGAACAGGUAUGUUGUAAACUUUUAUUAUUUCAUCUAUCCUGUUGUUGAAAUUUUUAACAAUAGUUUUUUCACGAGGAACUGCAAUUUUGUCACUCAGUUACUUUGUUCUGUAAUGUUUAUGGUGAAGUUGAAGAAUCAAUAUUCAAGAAAUGGCGAAUGUUUUAUUUUUUGUUGCAUCUUCUAUUGUUUUUCAUAUAUGCCUUGAUGCCUGCUUACUUCUAUCCACACACCUGUUAUAAUUAAGAUUUUAAUGAACUUAUAAUAUACAUUGACAAUGGCUAGAUAGUUUAAAACGAAAGUUACAUGUCUCGCACUAAUUAGAAAUGGUUUUCAAGCUCAAAUCAUUGUAUUUGAAAAGAAAGGUUACGUUUCGAGUAAUUAUUACUUCAAUUGUUAAUAGCUGUGUUUUUAUUUAGAUUGAGCAAAGGACGAAAAAUAUUCACGUCGAUCACCUGGUCGUCUAUUGCAGCUAACAGACUAAUCUUGGUGCGGACUAAACCAUAUCGAUUAGACACUGUAAUUAUCUGAAUCGGUAUAUUUUUAACUUUCAUUAUUUGUUCACCAUAUUGAAAAUUAGUUUUAUUUACUAGAAACUUUUCAAUUUUAUCACUUACUAACUUUGUUGUUCUGUGAUGUUUAUGGGUCAAGUUUAAGAAUCAAUAUCCACUUAAUGGCGAAUGGUUUAUUUUUUGUUGGAUUUUAAUUUGUUUUUUUUUAAGUAUGCCUACAUAUCUGCUUACUUCUCUAUACACACACACACGUAUUAUAAUAAACUUAUCAUAUACAUUGACAA
rnacentral:lncRNA from 1 species